CCUCCUUUCUUGGCAUGCGCGUGGUGUUCCCGUACUCGUGUGUGUAUGUCUGGAGGAAUAAAAUCGUCCAGUGCUAUGUCUUCGGUGCCAGCAUGUUUCUGUCGGCUGGUCCUAUCCUCAAUCACUGGUACACCG